UCGGGAAUUUUGGGCAAUGGGCGAAAGCCUGACCCAGCAACGCCGCGUGAAGGAUGAAGUAUUUCGGUAUGUAAACUUCGAAAGAAUAGGAAGAAUAAAUGACGGUACUAUUUAUAAGGUCCGGCUAACUACGUGCCAGCAGCCGCGGUAAUACGUAGGGACCAAGCGUUGUUCGGAUUUACUGGGCGUAAAGGGCGCGCAGGCGGCAAUUCAAGUCAUCUGUGAAAUCUCCGGGCUUAACUCGGAACGGUCAGAUGAUACUGCUUUGCUAGAGUGCAGAAGGGGCAAUCGGAAUUCUUGGUGUAGCGGUGAAAUGCGUAGAUAUCAAGAGGAACACCUGAGGUGAAGACGGGUUGCUGGGCUGACACUGACGCUGAGGUGCGAAAGCGUGGGGAGCAAACAGGAUUAGAUACCCCCGUAGUCCCUGAGCGGGCUGGCAAGGCGCAU
rnacentral:rRNA from 1 species